rnacentral:misc_RNA from 1 species
GGGAGGUUCACGUGCAAAUCCAGCUAGAAAACGUGAAAUAGAAGAUAAUUCAAGGAAAAUUGGUGCCUUGUUUGCGAAGCUCAACAGUGGAGAUAUAUCAAAAAAUGCUUCUGAUAAACUUGUUCAGCUGUGUCAGGCAUUAGAUAAAAAUGAUUUCAGCACAGCCCUGCAAAUCCAAGUAUUGCUUACGACAAGCGAGUGGGAUGAG